rnacentral:rRNA from 1 species
UACGGGGGGGGGCAAGCGUUGUUCGGAAUUACUGGGCGUAAAGGGCUCGUAGGCGGCCAACUAAGUCAGACGUGAAAUCCCUCGGCUUAACCGGGGAACUGCGUCUGAUACUGGAUGGCUUGAGUUCGGGAGAGGGAUGCGGAGUUCCAGGUGUAGCGGUGAAAUGCGUAGAUAUCUGGAGGAACACCGGUGGCGAAGGCGGGCAUCCUGGACCGAUACUGACGCUGAGGAGCGAAAGCCAGGGGGAGCAAA